rnacentral:lncRNA from 1 species
ACACCCAGCUGGCUCGUCAGGCUGCUACUUCUCCGCCAGAUCAUUGGGCUCCCACGCCGGCGUAGGUCCUUAUAAUAGGCUAUGUUUCAACUUGUCAAUUUAAAAUGAUUUUCUAACAACAGUUUGAAUUGAGGUGUGCUCCGCCUCCACGUUAAUUCACAUAAGAAGUAGCCUCUUUCAAUGCUGCUGACAAUUUAUGUUUGAGUCUUUACUGAGCCUGACAAACUUCUCUCUUCAAGGAGUGCCCAAGCACUUCCCUAGUGUUUCCCCAGAUCACGUAUGAAGACAUUGCACAUAUCUAGUCAGAACAGGCCUUGGACAAACGUUUUCCCCCAGCACAUUUUCUGGCUGGCACCGCAUUGCCUUCAUGGUUGUUUUCCUUACAAAUUGGACUUUGGACAUGUAUGUGUUCCUAUCAAAGUGGAGAAGGAGUAACAUCACCAGAAAGCAGCAAGCUGCCAGACCACCAAAGGACCCUAGAGGCCACUGCAUGCUGUGACAAGGGCCUGGAUGGUGACACAUCUGUUUCAAGCUGCCUGCCUGAAUACUGAGGCCUUCAGCGAGGACCUGAACCCUAGGACCAUGCCUCAGGACUACCUGGCCUGACGACUCCUAGCAGUCCUCAUCCCCAUCCCCAGUCCACCUGGUCGUGCUGCUGAUCCAGUUUCUGCUGUUCUGCCUGAGGCUAUGGAACCCUGACCUGUUCACUGGACCUGCUAAUAUAUCCUGGACCGGCUGUUUCUUCUCUCUCUCUCCUUACCUCUCUACCUCUGAAUGCUCAGUUAUGAAAAGCUAACUGACAUUUACUCCUGAGGUGCUGACCUGUUGCACCCUCUAUAACCACUGUGAUUAUUAUUUUACACUGCUGGUCAUCUUUGAACGCUUGAACAUCUUGAAGAACAAUCUAGCCUUAAUGGCCAUGUACUCUUAUAAUCUCCACCGGCACAGACAGAAGUGGAUUGGCCACCCCUCAGAGCCUGGUUCCACUCUCGGUUUCUUCCUAGGUUCCUGCCUUUCUAGGGAGAUUUUAGGCUGGGUUUCUGUAUAAGCACUUUGUGAUAUCUGCCGAUGUAAAACGGGUUUUAUAAAUACAUGUGAUUGAUACUUAUAACUCUUAUAGGCCAGCAGUGAAUAAGUAGAAGUUAAACAAUGUUCAUCACACCAGACUACAACAUUCUAGUCUAGUUCAAAUGUACCCAACUUAAUGUUAAUGUCACUUUUUGACCGUGACUAAGGUCCAAGCUAUUUACUUCAAUGAAUAAGUGUCGGACACAUCAAAAUGUUUGGGUUGGCUGUGAGUUUGUUGGAGCCUGGGGACUGGGGUCUCCAUGGUGGACUCUUCAGACUAGUCUGACUACAGUCAAAGUCCUCUCUCCAGUCCAUUCCAUUCCAGCCAGCUCAUAUCCUCAUCAGCUGCAUCUCUGAUGGAGGACAAGAGUUCAAUAUGGGAUUAUAAAUCUUAUGAUUAGGGCAAGGAGCUUUUCCUGCAUGAGCUUGUGAACUAGGGCCCGGGGCCUCAUUUAUCAAUAUAGCAUAGAAACGAUUCUAAAGUACUACUUACGGAUGGAAUUUAGAAUGUUUGUACGCAUAGAAAAGGUGUGAUUUAUCAAUCAAUCCUAUGAGCAUCACAUGCCCACUGGUAGGAGAACCAUUGAUAAAAUACCAAUUGUUCUCAGCUUCAGUGCUCUUGCACGAACUUGGCCAUUUGCAUUUUGAAACGCACCUAAUUAACCAUAUAUGGUCAAAAAUCAUCCCUUUAAAACUCGUGGGGAAUCUACAACGCCAUACCAUGAAAUACAACGGUGCAACCAAAAAAAGCGAAGGAAAAAUACUUUUCCGAGACUGAAAUAGAGGUUUUAGUCAGUGGAGGCUGCUGAGGGAAGGAUGGCUCAUUAUAAUGUCUGGAAUGGAGUGAAUGGAAUGGUAUCAACCAUAUGGAAACCAUGUUUGAUGUGUUUGAUGCCAUGCCAUUGACUCCAUUCCAGCCAUCAUUAAGAGCCGUCCUCCCCUCAGCAGCCUCCACUGGUGCUAUUGAUUGAGUACAACCAAAAUGUUUUAUUUGGCUCGCUUAGUUGUGGUUUGACCAGUAAAAACAAAAACAUAGCUACGAAGACAGGAACAUUAGGACAAUUAGGACAAGUUGCUUUAGCAAUGGCAAAUAUACAUAAAACUCACCAAUUAGCCAUCCAUCCUCAAGAGCUCCCUCCUGUAGGCAUAUAGGCCAACAUUGUUGUUCUGCAGAAUGAACUAGUUGUCCGUUCCACCUGGCCACCUUGCACCCACAUUCAGCAGCGUUUUCUACGCAUCACAUAACCUAUCACCUGCACAUUAAGAGUGGAAGCCUUUUCUGUUCACAUAGUUGAAUUUGUUUUGGGAUGGUGCUUUUAUGGCCAUGUGGGUGCCGUCUAUUGCUCUGUUCGUACUUUGGAACACAUUGAUGGCAAAGAAACCCCUCUUGACUUCAACCUAUUGUACAAUGGUGUAUGGAAAUUGAAUGUUGAGAGUUUGUUUGGCUGAUGAUUGCAUCCAAAACAUUGGCUUGUCGAGGGAUGUAUGAUGCCAAUCGGCAAGCUCCCACUGAAAAGUGCCCGUUGCCAAAAACACGAGAGUGGAUAGCGCUUUGGUGUGCACCACAAUGGCACGUGUUUGCCUUUCAAAAGUAGGUCUUAAAUAUGGGGUCAAUUUCACGCCACAUGUAUUGAAUUCAAAAUAAAAUAAAUCGUGAACAUGAAAAAAAAGUUGAGAAUUUAAACAUUAUAUUUUCGAGGAGUGAAAUAAUGGAUUUUGAAAUCACAAACCCAACAAUUGAAAGCAAAAUGUAUAGAAUUGUAAACAAAAAUAAGACAUAAAAAGCAAAACCCAAA